rnacentral:rRNA from 1 species
CUGCUGCCUCCCGUAGGAGUCUGGGCCGUGUCUCAGUCCCAAUGUGGCCGUUCAACCUCUCAGUCCGGCUACCGAUUGUCGGUUUGGUGGGCCGUUACCCCGCCAACUGCCUAAUCGGACGCGAGCCCAUCUUUCAGCGGAUUGCUCCUUUGAUAUCAGUGCCAUGCGACUCCGAUAUUUUAUGCGGUAUUAGCGUUCGUUUCCAAACGUUAUCCCCCUCUGAAAGGCCAGGUUGCUCACGUGUUACUCACCCGUCCG